rnacentral:rRNA from 1 species
AACGAACGCUGGCGGCAUGCCUAACACAUGCAAGUCGAACGAGACCUUCGGGUCUAGUGGCGCACGGGUGCGUAACGCGUGGGAACCUGCCCUUAGGUUCGGAAUAACUCCCCGAAAGGGGUGCUAAUACCGGAUAAUGUCUUCGGACCAAAGAUUUAUCGCCUUUGGAUGGGCCCGCGUUGGAUUAGCUAGUUGGUAGGGUAAAAGCCUACCAAGGCGACGAUCCAUAGCUGGUCUGAGAGGAUGAUCAGCCACACUGGGACUGAGACACAGCCCAGCAUCCUACGGGAGGCAGCGGUGGGGAAUAUUGGACAAUGGGCGAAAGCGUGAUCCAGCAAUGCCGCGUGAGUGAUGAAGGCCUUAGGGUUGUAAAGCUCUUUUACCCGGGAUGAUAAUGACAGUACCGGGAGAAUAAGCUCCGGCUAACUCCGUG